UUGGCAAAAUAGCUGCUCGCGCUUCACUGUAGGCAGAUAUCUACAAUCAGCGGUCGAAUUAAAAACAGUGCAGAAGGAUGUUUUGAGUAUAUUUUACCUUCUAGCCGCGCAAUCAAUGCUUUUCUUUCCAAGCAAGCAGCGUUUUUCGGCAAAAGCAUGAAAUAGAAUCGUACGUGGUACGAAUUUAUCGGCACAAUCUGAUCAAGGACGGAGGCAUCAUCAAACGGAAACUACGCGAAAAACUUUUCGAAGAGAUAAAACUGCGCCGCAACACUCGUGUGAAAAUGGACGAGUUGGGCUGGGUGCUGAUGAACCACAAUUUGAUAACACGUAAUGAGCCAAUCCAACAGCAUGCCAAUGGUAAUCGACCAAAUCAUUUUAAAUUGAACAUGAAGCGGUUGUGCAACCUACUGGAGCAGCAAGAACAGAACAAUCACGCUGAGUUGACUUCCAAAAAGCAAAACAAAUUCCUGCGUAUGCUGGAUGCAAUUUUACAAAACGACAUAGUUUUGAAGGAAAUUAAAGAGAUGGUAGCGGCGAAUCGACUUCUAUCGGAAAUUCGUUAUGUGACUACGGUGGAACGUAUGCUGAAACACAAUUUGGACCCCUCUUUGCGCUGCUGCUUUGUAUGCCGAGAGUAUUUCCGCACUGCCGAUGAGUAUAC